rnacentral:rRNA from 1 species
CACAUCUAAGGAAGGCAGCAGGCGCGCAAAUUACCCAAUCCUGACACAGGGAGGUAGUGACAAGAAGUAACAAAGCAAGCCAGAUAUCUGGUUUUGCUAUUGGAAUGAGUAGAAUUUAAAUCUCUUUACGACUAUCAAUUGGAGGGCAAGUCUGGUGCCAGCAGCCGCGGUAAUUCCAGCUCCAAUAGCGUAUAUUAAAGUUGUUGCGGUUAAAAAGCUCGUAGUUGGAUUUCUGUGGGGACGGAGCGGCCGGCCGCAACUCGCGGUUCGAGCUAGCGCUUUCCCUACAUCCUGCCGCGAACCGUGCUACCAUUAGUUUGGUGGCGCCGGGGAUCGGCUCGAUUACUUUGAGAAAAAUAGAGUGUUCAAAGCAGGCCACACGCCUUGAAUAAGUUAGCAUGGAAUAAUAACUAAGGACUUCGGUUCUAUUUUGUUGGUGUUCGGGACUGAAGUAAUGAUUGAUAGGGACAGUUGGGGCGGUCUGUAUUCCAAAGCGAGAGGUGAAAUUCUUAGACCUUCGGAAGACAAACAGCUGCGAAAGCGUUCCGCAAGGAUGUUCCCUUUGAUCAAGAACGAAAGUUGGGGGAUCGAAGACGAUCAGAUACCGUCGUAGUCUCAACUAUAAACUAUACCAGCUAGGGAUCGGCCAACGUUAUUUAAACCGACUUGGUCGGCACCUUAUGAGAAAUCAAAGCAUCUGGGUUCCGGGGGGAGUAUGGUCGCAAGGCUGAAGCUUAAAGGAAUUGACGGAAGGGCACCACCAGCCGUGGAGCCUGUGGCUUAAUUUGACUCAACACGGGAAAACUUACCAGGUCCAGACAUAGUAAGGAUUGACAGAUUGAUAGCUCUUUCUUGAUUCUGUGGGUGGUGGUGCAUGGCCGUUCUUAGUUGGUGGAGUGAUUUGUCUGGUUAAUUCCGUUAACGAACGAGACCCCAGCCUGCCAAAUAGCGCGUGUGAGCUUUGCUCGCAGCGAGCUUCUUAGAGGGACUAUGAUGCGCGAUAGCACAUGGAAGUUUGGGGCAAUAACAGGUCUGUGAUGCCCUUAGAUGUUCUGGGCCGCACACGGGCUACACUGGCGCCUGCAACGAGCAUA